AUGGCAUUAGAAAGGAACCCAAAUGGCCGGAGGUGGAACAAGGAAAUUAUACGGUUGUGUUUAACUUUGUACUGCAGGAGUCCAAGGGGCUAUAGUGAAUUGAGAAAUAGCAAUUUUAUAAUAUUACCAUCCCAAAACUUGCUUCGACGUUAUAAAAACUCUGUUUAUCAAGAGGCAGGCAUUAAUAGUGAUAUGUUAGAUUGGAUGGCAAAUGAAGCAACAAUGAAAGGUAUACCCCCUGAGGGAUAUCAAGGUGGACUUAUUAUAGAUGAAAUGUCUAUUCAACAAGAUUUGCAAUUUCGCAAGCGUAAACACAAUAUAGAGCUGAUUGGUUUCACUGAAUGUUCACCAGAGUCAAUUAUAUUUGAGCAAAUAAAGAGUAAUAAAAAAGAAAGAACUCUUGCUACACAUGUUCUUCAAUUAGUUUUCUUAGGAUUUACAGGUUUCCGUUUUCCAUUUGCACAUUUUCCUUCUCAUACUGCAUCAGGACAUGAACUUUACUUACUUGUAUGGAAAUCAGUUAAUAUGUUAUCUGCAUUUGGAUUUACAAUUCAAUAUAUCAGUACUGAUGGGGCACAAAGCAAUAGAGACCUUUUUCAAAAUUUUGUUACCAAACUUUAA
rnacentral:sRNA from 1 species